rnacentral:rRNA from 1 species
AUGGUUGUUUACUAUGUUGUUUGCUCCUUUCCGGUGUUGCUUCUUCGGGUUGGUUCCGAUAACGUUGCGUUUGUGAGGAUUCGUUUGGCUAUGUCUGUUUGUCUUCUUCAUGGACUCGUUCUUCUUCCUUGCGGGAUUUCAGGCAAGAUGACCAUACCCUCGAAAUCACUUCUAUAUUUGCUUGCUAGUUGCUUGCUCUUUUGCUAUGCCUAUGCUGUGAUACCUACCACUUGCUUAUCAUGCCUCCCAUAUUGUGAAACCAAGCCUUUAACCCUCCUUUUCCUAGCAAACCGUUGUUUGGCUAUGUUACCACUUUGCUCAGCCCCUCUUAUAGCGUUGUUAGUUGCAGGUGAAGAUUGA